GAUGAACGCUAGCUACAGGCUUAACACAUGCAAGUCGAGGGGCAGCAUUUUAGUUUGCUUGCAAACUGAAGAUGGCGACCGGCGCACGGGUGAGUAACACGUAUCCAACCUGCCGAUAACUCCGGAAUAGCCUUUCGAAAGAAAGAUUAAUACCGGAUAGCAUACGAAUAUCGCAUGAUAUUUUUAUUAAAGAAUUUCGGUUAUCGAUGGGGAUGCGUUCCAUUAGUUUGUUGGCGGGGUAACGGCCCACCAAGACUACGAUGGAUAGGGGUUCUGAGAGGAAGGUCCCCCACAUUGGAACUGAGACACGGUCCAAACUCCUACGGGAGGCAGCAGUGAGGAAUAUUGGUCAAUGGGCGAGAGCCUGAACCAGCCAAGUAGCGUGAAGGAUGAAGGCUCUAUGGGUCGUAAACUUCUUUUAUAUGGGAAUAAAGUUUUCCACGUGUGGAAUUUUGUAUGUACCAUAUGAAUAAGGAUCGGCUAACUCCGUGCCAGCAGCCGCGGUAAUACGGAGGAUCCGAGCGUUAUCCGGAUUUAUUGGGUUUAAAGGGAGCGUAGGUGGAUUGUUAAGUCAGUUGUGAAAGUUUGCGGCUCAACCGUAAAAUUGCAGUUGAAACUGGCAGUCUUGAGUACAGUAGAGGUGGGCGGAAUUCGUGGUGUAGCGGUGAAAUGCUUAGAUAUCACGAAGAACUCCGAUUGCGAAGGCAGCUC
rnacentral:rRNA from 1 species